rnacentral:tRNA from 1 species
UUCUCAUAGUUGAAGGACAACGGUGGCUUUUCGUGCCAGUAGUCGUGGUUAUAGUCCAUGUGAGAAUA